rnacentral:rRNA from 1 species
UACGGGGGGGGCAAGCGUUGUUCGGAAUUACUGGGCGUAAAGGGUUCGUAGGUGGCCUGCUAAGUCAGACGUGAAAUCCCUCAGCUUAACUGGGGAACUGCGUCUGAGACUGGUGGGCUUGAGUGCAGGAGAGGAACGCGGAAUUCCAGGUGUAGCGGUGAAAUGCGUAGAUAUCAAGAGGAACACCAGUGGCGAAGGCGAGUCCCUGGACAACACCUGACACUGAGGCGCGAAAGCUGGGGGAGCAAACAGG